UACGUAGGUGACCAGCGUUGUCCGGAUUUACUGGGCGUAAAGAGCGCGCAGGCGGUCGUUCAAGUCGGGUGUGAAAGCCCCCGGCUCAACUGGGGAGGGUCAUUCGAUACUGAUCGACUUGAAGGCAGGAGAGGGAAGUGGAAUUCCCGGUGUAGUGGUGAAAUGCGUAGAUAUCGGGAGGAACACCAGUGGCGAAGGCGACUUCCUGGCCUGUUCUUGACGCUGAGGCGCGAAAGCUAGGGGAGCAAACAGG
rnacentral:rRNA from 1 species